rnacentral:rRNA from 1 species
UGGGGAAUCUUCCGCAAUGGACGAAAGUCUGACGGAGCAACGCCGCGUGAGUGAUGACGGCCUUCGGGUUGUAAAGCUCUGUUAAUCGGGACGAAUGGUUCUUGUGCGAAUAGUGCGAGGAUUUGACGGUACCGGAAUAGAAAGCCACGGCUAACUACGUGCCAGCAGCCGCGGUAAUACGUAGGUGGCAAGCGUUGUCCGGAAUUAUUGGGCGUAAAGCGCGCGCAGGCGGAUUGGUCAGUCUGUCUUAAAAGUUCGGGGCUUAACCCCGUGAUGGGAUGGUAACUGCCAAUCUAGAGUAUCGGAGAGGAAAGUGGAAUUCCUAGUGUAGCGGUGAAAUGCGUAGAUAUUAGGAAGAACACCAGUGGCGAAGGCGACUUUCUGGACGAAGACUGACGCUGAGGCGCGAAAGCCAGGGGAGCGAACGGG